UGGCUGUCGUCAGCUCGUGUCGUGAGAUGUUGGGUUAAGUCCCGCAACGAGCGCAACCCUCGUACUUAGUUGCCAGCACUUCGGGUGGGCACUCUAAGGAGACUGCCGGUGACAAACCGGAGGAAGGUGGGGAUGACGUCAAGUCAGCAUGCCCUUACGUCCUGGGCUACACACGUACUACAAUGCUACGGACAAAGGGCAGCGAGCCAGCGAUGGCAAGCAAAUCUCAUAAACCGUGGCUCAGUUCAGAUCGCAGGCUGCAACUCGCCUGCGUGAAGGAGGAAUCGCUAGUAAUUGCAGGUCAGCAUACUGCAGUGAAUUCGUUCCCGGGCCUUGUACACACCGCCCG
rnacentral:rRNA from 1 species